GAAAGUAAAAAAUUUAAUACAUAAACUGAAGGAAAAACAAUGUUAAGUAAAUGUGUCAAGACGGAGUGGGAAUGACUGCUAUUCGUGAUGACCACUGUGGCAGACAGCUCACUGUUACAAAGGACAUUUCCUCUGCUUCCUGGCAUACAAAUAUAUUCUAUUCCCCAGUCUCUUUCUAGUUAUAUGUGACCACGUGACUGAAUGCUAGCCAACAGAUGUGAAGUCAUGUGUGCGAACUUCUAGGCCUGGCCCAUAAAAAUCUUCCCAUGUGUGAUCCACCAUGCUCUUUCCAUUUUGUAACCAUCCUGGAAUCUGUGUUAAGGUUGAAGAGCAAGAAGAUGGAAGGAACCAGGGUCUCUGAAUGACUGCUUGGAGUAGAGUUGCCUGCAGAUCACAUCUUUGAAAAUUUUAUUAGGUUUAAAGCGGGAACCAAAUCCAAGGAUAUAUUCUCUGCAGUCUUGAGAGCAAAUAAAGAUAGCAUUUGACUUUGAGGAAUCAGGCAUUGGGAGUCUGUACCACUACUAUUGUCUAUCAGGAAACAGUGAUCAUGAAAAGUGGUGUAUAUAGUGAGGAGGAAGCUAAAAACCCAUUAUUCUGCAGCUUGAACACAGAUUCCAAAUCCUUCUCAGACAUCAUUCCAGUCAGCCACUACCAAGAGACUGAAGUUGACACCCAAGAGGAAACCCAGUUCAUCUUGGUAUGAUGUUUAAGGAGCCAUGGACUAGGGUUUGGAGCUCAAGAAGACUAUUAGUCCUGACUUACUCUGUUUGCCCAAAUGCAUGGUACAGAGAGCCAGCUACUAUUUUAAAGGCAAAUAAUUUCUGGAAAAAGCAGCAAUACCAGAAGUGAAAAGUACUAUUUCCAUGAUAAAACUGACAGACUAAAAGUUAAAGCAGUGGCAAUUUAACAAUCAUUUAUUCAAUUUCAAUGUAAAAGUGGAUUAGCAGCCAGGCUAAAAUCAAAUGCAGAGCAAUACCUUAUCUUCUAAUUGUGAAAUA